rnacentral:rRNA from 1 species
GAUGAACGCUGGCGGCGUGCCUAAUACAUGCAAGUCGAGCGAACGGACGAGAAGCUUGCUUCUCUGAUGUUAGCGGCGGACGGGUGAGUAACACGUGGAUAACCUACCUAUAAGACUGGGAUAACUUCGGGAAACCGGAGCUAAUACCGGAUGAGAUUUUGAACCGCAUGGUUCAAAAGUGAAAGACGGUCUUGCUGUCACUUAUAGAUGGAUCCGCGCUGCAUUAGCUAGUUGGUAAGGUAACGGCUUACCAAGGCAACGAUGCAUAGCUGACCUGAGAGGGUGAUCGGCCACACUGGAACUGAGACACGGUCCAGACUCCUACGGGAGGCAGCAGUAGGGAAUCUUCCGCAAUGGGCGAAAGCCUGACGGAGCAACGCCGCGUGAGUGAUGAAGGUCUUCGGAUCGUAAAACUCUGUUAUUAGGGAAGAACAUAUGUGUAAGUAACUGUGCACAUCUUGACGGUACCUAAUCAGAAAGCCACGGCUAACUACGUG